rnacentral:rRNA from 1 species
UUCGAUUGGCGGACGGGUGAGUAAUGUCUGGGAAACUGCCUGAUGGAGGGGGAUAACUACUGGAAACGGUAGCUAAUACCGCAUAACGUCGCAAGACCAAAGAGGGGGACCUUCGGGCCUCUUGCCAUCGGAUGUGCCCAGAUGGGAUUAGCUAGUAGGUGGGGUAACGGCUCACCUAGGCGACGAUCCCUAGCUGGUCUGAGAGGAUGACCAGCCACACUGGAACUGAGACACGGUCCAGACUCCUACGGGAGGCAGCAGUGGGGAAUAUUGCACAAUGGGCGCAAGCCUGAUGCAGCCAUGCCGCGUGUAUGAAGAAGGCCUUCGGGUUGUAAAGUACUUUCAGCGGGGAGGAAGGGAGUAAAGUUAAUACCUUUGCUCAUUGACGUUACCCGCAGAAGAAGCACCGGCUAACUCCGUGCCAGCAGCCGCGGUAAUACGGAGGGUGCAAGCGUUAAUCGGAAUUACUGGGCGUAAAGCGCACGCAGGCGGUUUGUUAAGUCAGAUGUGAAAUCCCCGGGCUCAACCUGGGAACUGCAUCUGAUACUGGCAAGCUUGAGUCUCGUAGAGGGGGGUAGAAUUCCAGGUGUAGCGGUGAAAUGCGUAGAGAUCUGGAGGAAUNACNCGGUGGCGAAGGCGGCCCCCUGGACGAAGACUGACGCUCAGGUGCGAAAGCGUGGGGAGCAAACAGGAUUANGNAUACCCUGGUAGUCCACGCCGUAAACGAUGUCGACUUGGAGGUUGUGCCCUUGAGGCGUGGCUUCCGGAGCUAACGCGUUAAGUCGACCGCCUGGGGAGUACGGCCGCAANGGUUAAAACUCAAAUGAAUUGACGGGGGCCCGCACAAGCGGUGGAGCAUGUGGUUUAAUUCGAUGCAACGCGAAGAACCUUACCUGGUCUUGACAUCCACGGAAGUUUUCAGAGAUGAGAAUGUGCCUUCGGGAACCGUGAGACAGGUGCUGCAUGGCUGUCGUCAGCUCGUGUUGUGAAAUGUUGGGUUAAGUCCCGCAACGAGCGCAACCCUUAUC